rnacentral:tRNA from 1 species
GGAGUUGCAGCAGUGGGAGCAAUCGCACUGCAGAGGUCAGGGGUUCGAUUCCCCUCGGCUCCACCA